GACAGAGGGGGCAAGCGUUGCUCGGAAUUACUGGGCGUAAAGGGCGCGUAGGCGGACAGUUAAGUCGGGGGGUGAAAGCCCGGGGCUCAACCUCGGAAUUGCCUUCGAUACUGGCUGUCUUGAGUAUGGGAGAGGUGUGUGGAACUCCGAGUGUAGAGGUGAAAUUCGUAGAUAUUCGCAAGAACACCAGUGGCGAAGGCGGCUGACUGGUCCGGUUCUGACGCUGAGGCGCGAAAGCGUGGGGAGCAAACAGG
rnacentral:rRNA from 1 species